AGUCCAGCAGUGACAGUGUUAACUUGCUCUCAGUUUUUGCUGACAAGGAGUUAUUGGUGAGAGCGACUUUCCUGACAUCAGUCUGAAUCCUGCUGUCAAGUGGACGUCUUUUCUCAGACUCAGGCAGUCUCACCAACUGAGAGGAGGAAAUAUUUAAACCUUAACCUAUCUUUCUAGCAGAGAUGGAGGUUGCCUUAUUUCAUGGACACAAGACUAAUGAAGGAGAAGAAAGCACUGCUCGACCUCAACAUCAGAUUCGAGUGAAUGGAGUUCUACGUGACGUGACAAAUAUCGAUCCCCGGACUCCGCUGGCUCCAUACCUGCAAUUCAUGCUUCUCCUUCAUGGAACAAAGACCAUGUGUUUUGAAAGCUCCUGUGGAAGCUGUGCAGUGGUGCUUGAAUAUGAUGACCCAGUGAGACCUGGAAAGAGGAUUGUCAAGUCAGUGAAUUCAUGUUUAUAUCCAUC